UUGACCGUGCCCCAAGUAGCAUAAUCAUUUGUCUUUUAAUUAAAGGCUUGUAUGAAUGGUUGGAUGAGAUAUAAUCUAUUUUUAUUUAAUUAAAAAUGAAUUUUAAUUUUUAGUAAAAAUGCUAAAAUAAAAAAUAUAGACGAGAAGACCCUAUAAAUCUUUAUUAUUUUUUUUAUUAAUUUAUUAACAGAAUAUAAAAUUUAUUAAUAAAAAAAUAAUUUUAUUGGGGUGAUAAUGAAAUUUAAUAAACUUUUGUUUUAUUUUAUAAAUAUAAUUAAUUUAAUGAUCCAUUUUUAAUGAUUAUAAAAUUAAGUUACUUUAGGGAUAACAGCGUAAUUAUUUUAAAGAGUUCAUAUCGAUAAAAUAGUUUGCGACCUCGAUGUUGAAUUAAGAGUAAGUUUAGGUGUAGAAGU
rnacentral:rRNA from 1 species